rnacentral:misc_RNA from 1 species
AAGUCGUAACAAGGUCUCCGUUGGUGAACCAGCGGAGGGAUCAUUACUGAGUUUACAACUCCCAAACCCACUGUGAACAUACCUAUAGUUGCUUCGGCGGGACCGCCCCGGCGCGCCCCCUAGGGGGCUUGCCCGGAACCAGGCGCCCGCCGGAGACCACAAACUCUUGUUUUUUCCCGCACACGCGGCAGUAGAUUCUCUGAGUGGCAAACGCAAAAUAAAUCAAAACUUUCAACAACGGAUCUCUUGGCUCCA